rnacentral:rRNA from 1 species
CAAAAACAUAGUCUCUUGUAUUUUUAUAAGAGGUGGUUUCUGCUCAGUGUUUAUAAACAGCCGCAGUAAUUUGACUGUGCAAAGGUAGCAUAAUCAUUUGCCUCAUAAUUGGGGGCUUGUAUGAAUGGUAUUACGAAAGUUUAACUGUCUUUUAUUUAUUGUUAUAAUUUGUAUUUGGUGUGAAGAUACAUUAAUUUUUUAAGGGGACAAGAAGACCCUUUUGAGCUUUAUUUUACACUUACUUUUUGUAUUUGUUUAAUUUGGUUGGGGCGACCUAGGAAGAAGAAUAUGUAUUAUCUUCCUUUUAUUUUAUAGAACCAAUAUUUUUGGAAUAUAGAUCGAGUUACCAGAGGGAUAACAGCGUAAUUUUUUUUGAGAGUUCUUAUUAAAAAAGAAGAUUGCGACCUCGAUGUUGACUUAUAGUUUCCUUUUGGUGCAGUAGCUAAUAGGGUGGGUCUGUUCGACCUUUAAUACUUUACGUGAUCUG